GCUGACCCACCUCGCCGCCCCGCUCCUUCAUGCGGGCGGUGGCAGCGCACGGGGGCGGUGCGCAGCGCUGAGCAGCAGCGGCUCGGCGCCGGGGCCCGAGCUGCCGUCCAUGGGCGCAGCGCCGUAGGGGCCGGCGGCGACGAUGGCCAAAUGGCUGAACAAGUACUUCAGCCUGGGCAAUAACAAGACCAAGAGUCCCCCGCAGCCUCCGCGGCCGGACUACCGCGAGAAGCGCAACAGUGCCGGCGGCGCGCCCCGCCCCGACGGCCCGCCGCACCUCCACCACCACACCUCGCCUGGCUUCCAGCACCGCCACCUGCGCGACGACACGAGUGACCUGCUGCGUGCGUACCGCGCCCAGAAGGACCGCGACUUUGAGGACCCCUACAGCGGGCCCGGCUCAUCUCUGCGCAAGCUGCGCGCUAUGUGCCGCCCGGACUACUGCGCGCCCGAGGAUGCGGGUGAGGCAGUCCCGAGGGCAUUCUCCUCCUCGUCAUGCUGCGCCGCGCUGCCUGCCGCCCCCGCAGCCGGCUCCCCGCACCUGUUCCGCAGCCACAGCGAGCGCCGCCCGGCCACGCCACCCGAUGUCAAGUACAUCUCCCCGAAGCACCGGCUAAUCAAGGUUGAGAGCAGCGGCAGCACCGCUGCUGACGGCGCUGGCAAGAAGCUCAGCAAGGGUUGCGAGCAGCUGGUGACCUUCAUCCCCUCUGCCAAGAAGGAGAAAGUCUUGAUACCAGAUGACUACUCAGAUCCGUUUGAUGCCAAAAGUGAGUGGAACAAAAUGGGGAAAGGGGAGAACACUGGCUAUAUGGAACCCUAUGAAGCCCAGAGAAUAAUGACUGAAUUUCAGAGGCAGGAGAAUGUGAAGUCCCAUCGAAAAAGCAUGCAGCUCUAUGACACACCCUAUGAACCAGAAGGCAGUGGUGUGGAAUCGGAUUCCGAAAGUGUGGUGAGUCAGCAUUUACGAGAAAGCAAGUUGCCACAGGAUGAUGACAGGCCUGCGGAUGAGUAUGAUCAGCCGUGGGAAUGGAACAAAGUCACCAUCCCAGCCCUGGCAGCCCAGUUUAAUGGAAGUGAGAAACGGCAGGCAUCUCCUUCUCCCUCAAAUGACCAGCGCAGGCAAUUACGAGCACCCGGAGGAGGCUUUAAACCCAUCAAACAUGGCAGUCCAGAAUUUUGUGGAAUCCUUGGAGAGAGAAUAGAUCCAACUAUUCCACUGGAAAAACAGAUAUGGUAUCAUGGAGCAAUCAGUCGGACAGAUGCAGAAAACCUGUUACGUUUAUGUAAAGAGUGUAGCUACCUUGUAAGAAAUAGUCAAACAAGCAAGCAUGACUAUUCUCUUUCACUGAAGGCUGUAACUGCGACUGGAACGUCACUUUUUCACGUGUUUUUUUCUGGAUAUGUGACUGCAUUUCAGUAAAGAAUACUAUGCUGCUUUGUGAUGGCCCUCUAACAUCUAGCUGGAGAUAGAUGUAUCACCCCACCUUCACCUUAUUCUUCCUUUCUGUUUGCAGAACUAACUAGUGCUGAAGGUGGUGCCAAAGUGCUGGAACACAUAGCAUCAAAGCAUCAAUUACUAUCUUGGCUGCAAUACAGAGCUUCUCCCCAUACCCUCAGUCAUGCUGCACAUUGGCUAAUGGAAUUACUAUAUACAGCUCUAGCUGCCUUUGUUGUCUCAACAUUUUACAAAUUCUAAAGGCAUCCUGAAAAUUUACAUUAUAACAUUAUUCUGGCAUCACAGAAUCUGAGGAGCUAGGUUUUGGGGUGUCUGGGGGUUUUUUUGUUUUUCUGUUUUUUUUUUUCCAGUGUGGAAUCUUGUAAAGGAUUGCUGGCUGCUAACAUGUGAGUCCUUCCUUCCCAGUUUGGAUUCUUCAGUCUACUUCAUGUGGCCACCCAGCAGCUGAACAAGGAGUCUGUUGCAUAGGCAAACUAAAGCUUUCCUGCUUUUACUAUGUGUUAGCAAAGUCCAGAGAAAUUGUUAUAGGGACUUUCAUGACUUUUUCAUUUUAAUUUAAGCUUAAUGUUAACUUAAUAUUUAUCAUAUUCAAUUUUUUUCUUGAUUCUGAGUUUCCUUAUUACUGAAUUCUAGUAUUUCAGUAUUUCAACAACAGCAACAAAGAUAACUGAAACUCUGCUUAACCUGCUUGUUUUUGUUCUAGUUUCUAUGUUUCUUCUCCCUGGCUGUAUUUCUUCUUUGCUUCCUUUAUCUUAAUUUCUGGUUCCUCCAAAAUCUAAAUGCCAAAUAAUUUGUUUUCAGUUUUGGAAAAAAAAUGCUCAGUAGGGAAAAUGAAAAGUUUGGCUUUUAAUUUCUUUAAUCUUUUCCAGACCAGACUGUCCUGGUCUGGCCUGACUCCCCAGGGUCAUUGGAGGGGCUGAGGUGCAGCUCUGCCCAGAAUCUCUGGCAUCCACCUGUUUGGGGUGGGUCAGGACACUUCUGAGCUUUGUGCUGGGAAAACAGCUCCCCCAUGGUGCAGAGUUCAGCAAGGUCAUCCCACAGCCCCAGGUCAAGUUAGGUGCUGGGAUGCAGACCCAAACUACCUGCAGCACUGUGCUGCCCUGGGAACUGCUGCACAGGAAAUGAUCAGGACCCUCAACCAAAGACAUGGGCACGCUGGGAUGGAGGAAGGUGAUCCCAAUCUCAUGGCCUGGGGAGAGGGAGUCUAGAUCCUGCUACUUUCCAGAAAGCCCAAGUGUCCUGCUGGCCACUACCUUCUGCUCAGCUCUAAUUGCUAAGCCUCACUGCUUUUUCACCACCAGAGGAAUCCAGGUGUCUUGGCUUCCUCACCAGCCCCUAGAUGCUGCUACUUUUGCACAGCCACACAGAACCCAAUUUCUUAGAUAUCAAACCCUAUACUCUCACUCUUAGACCUUGCAGCCCCUGUCCCUCACUCAUCACUGGAGGCAGAGGCACAAAUGUCUGGAAUUCCCUGCCCUCAAACUAUAACUGCUUAAUAUUCCUGGUAGAAAGGGAACAAAAGUGCCCAGGAACUCCCUCUGUAGAAAAUCCUCACCCCUUGUGUCCCUCACUUCCCAGAGAAACCAGGUGGUCAGGACCACAUCUCUCUACAUCUCAGACCCAUUAUGCUCCCAGUGCUAGAAAGACCCCCAGCUAUCCAGGAUCACCUACCCUACAAAGAAAUCUUGCCAUCUGGCACACAACUCCCCCGCACUGUCUCUAUGUGGGUGUAAAGCCCUCCUUGGAAUGGAUCUGAGGGUGUGUACGAGUCUAGGUAAACCAUCCUGUGCCUCAACUCAGCACUUGUGAGACCGCACCUGGAGAGUAGUGUCCAGGUUUGGUCUCCCCAGCACAGGACAGACCGGGACACACCAGGACAAGCCCAGCAUAGGAUCACUGAGAUGGCUGGGGGCCCAGGGCAUAUGAGGAGUGGCAGAGGGUGCUAGGUGCCCGCUACUUGCCUUCCUCACUUCCCAGAACUCCAGAAUGAACACUGAUCACUACAGCCCAGAUGGCCACUGUCAUCUCCCCAACCACAUCUGCCUUGGGAGGUGGGUGAAGUAGCAGGUCCAGCUGUGUGUCACCCUUAUGUGGCCUGAUCAGCAUCAAAACCAAAACACCAGCCACAAACCUCCAGGAUGGCUCUCAUCCUGCCUUUCAACACCUCUUGAUGAGGUUAUAGUCCCAGAGAGAGCUUCAAGAAGGUCUUGUUCUCUUCAUCACUCUCACUGACUGCUCUGCAAGAUGCUCCCAGUGCGAGCUCACCCUUCCCAGCAUCUCCUCUGAGCCUGAUCCACAGGCAAGCAGCCUCUCACCCUUUCACCAGAAGAUCCCCACCUGAGCAAACUGCUCUUGCACAGAAAUGCCACCUCCUCCUUGCCUUUCCUCAAGAGCCUCUCUCCACCCCACCAUGGGAGCACUUCACUUUGUCUCCGGGAAGGCAUGAGGACAUUGCACCUCCUGUGUCUUUCCCAGGAAACAGGCAUAUAUUCGUGUGCAGUCAUAGGCAGUGGGGUCCUUUAGGCUUGGGUAGUCCUCCAAGGGCUCUUUUUCUUCCUUCACCCAGCCCCACAUCCUUCCCAUCCCUCUCUUCAUUUUGCUUAUCCACUGUGGGCUGUGAUCUUGGCCCACAGCAGACCAGGUCCAGCCCUGCUCACCAUGGUGGCCAACCUGCAUGCCAACAUGCUUUUGCUCAACUCUGUCAGACAAAUCUUGCCCUUACCAAGCAGUUUCCCUGGACUCCCAUGGGGAGUCACUCCCUGACACUCCCAGACAUCUGUGGCCCCAGCCCAAGUGCCCAGAGCUUAAAGGCUCUCCCUCUGGACACUGAGAAAGCACACCUGACUGCACUAAGGUGGGAAUGGAGGUUAUCUUAUUCAGUGUUCACCCUACAGGUUCAGGAAGGCCAAGUCCUACAGAGAUGUGAUGGUGGCGGACAGCAGUUAGGAGGCCAGCAGCCCCUCACUGAGCAUGGUCAGGGUUUCUCCCAUUAACCGCACCAGGCAGGUGUAGCUCUGCUCUGGUAAUACCCGCAGGAGCACAUGGUAGACAAGCUCCUGGUCAUCCUAGGAGGCGUAGAGCACCAUGGUGUAUAGCAUGAACCUGACAACCAGGCACAUGAAGAGCAGGCAGUAUCCUGUGGAACAGCAGAGGGGUGGGAGGCAAGUCAGGGUAGGUGCAUCCUAAUCCCAUCUUGCCCCAGGACCUUCACCCAGACUAGAGGGUGCCAUUCAGGGAACCCAUGGGCUGCCUCUAGCCACAUCUCACCUCUCUCUCUCAGGCAGGGUUGCAAAUGAGCUUCCACAAGCCCAGAAAGAAACACACCCAGGGAUUUCCCAGCUGCAAAGCCCACAGUCAGCAAGCAGUACCUGAACAGCCUGGUGCUCAUGAGCCCUGAUAGCUGAAGCAAGCAUCCACCCAGCCCACUUGCUGCACAGCAGCCCAGACGCAGGCCACCGGGCACAGGGGACCUGAGAUGCAGUUCACUGCAGCCAGGUGGUGACACCACAUCUCUUCUCCAGCACCUUCCCCUCCUGCAGAUCAACACAGAGUGAGGACACUUGUCAGGCCGUGUGAUGCAGCUGUGACAGCAGGGUCUGACGCCAAGGUGGAAGCCCUUCUUGGGGCUGCAUGGUGGUCCCCAACUGCACAGAAAUACGGUCCCAGCCUCAGCCACGCACUGCACACAUCCCUCUGCCCAAUGAGACUCCUCAGGCUGGGGCAGGUGCUGAUGGUUGCAUUAGAUAUGAUCUAAUAUCAUCUUGGCCAGUUGUUCUUGGAGGUCAUCCCUGACUCCUCCCCCAGUUUUCUAUAUUAUAUUUUUUCCUUCAAAUGUGGACAAUACUGGUCAUCCCAGGAUGAUAGAGAGAACUAAUCCUACUCCGUAUCCACUUCAUGCCUAUGUGAAUAGAAACUUAUCAAUAACAUGGACAGAUCUGUAAUGUCACCAUUACAGACCAUUUCAGCCAACCUCCAAAGCCACAUUGAUACUUGUAACCUUUGCUUUGAUUCCAGAGAGGCCUAAAUCA